rnacentral:misc_RNA from 1 species
GAGAACAUGUGAAUUUCAUGUUCCCACAUGUUAUCAAGGGUGGAAAAACUCCCACACUGCUCCCAUUUUUCUCCCUGAUGUGUACUUUACACAAGUUCCAAGAAGAAAUCCAAAAUUCUCCGUAUUAUUGCCACCUAAUUUCUAAUCAAUGCCAUCGCUGUGCAUAGUCCAAUGAAUUGAAAGCUGUUGGACCUGAAAAAUUC